AGAGUUUGAUCCUGGCUCAGGAUGAACGCUGGCGGCGUGCUUAAUACAUGCAAGUCGAACGAAGGAAUAGAUGAGCUCGCUUAUUUAUUCCUUAGUGGCGAACGGGUGAGUAAUACGUAAGUAACCUGCCCAUUUGAAUGGGAUAACGCCUGGAAACGGGUGCUAAUACCAUAUAGCUUAGAUAUGGCAUCAUAUCAUAACUAAAGAUGCGUCUGCAUCGCAAAUGGAUGGGCUUACGGUGUAUUAGCUUGUUGGUGGGGUAAUGGCCUACCAAGGCGAUGAUACAUAGCCGGCCUGAGAGGGUGAACGGCCACAUUGGGACUGAGACACGGCCCAGACUCCUACGGGAGGCAGCAGUAAGGAAUUUUCGGCAAUGGGGGAAACCCUGACCGAGCAACGCCGCGUGAGUGAUGAAGGCCCUACGGGUUGUAAAGCUCUGUUGUUAAGGAAGAAUACUAUGAUAAGGAAAUGUUUCAUAGCUGACGGUACUUUUCAAGAAAGUCACGGCUUACUACGUGCCAGCAGCCGCGGUAAUACGUAGGUGGCAAGCGUUAUCCGGAUUUAUUGGGCGUAAAGGGUGCGCAGGCGGUCUGUUAAGUUUAGGGUGAAAGCGUUGGGCUCAACCCAAUAUAGCCUUAAAAACUGGCAGACUAGAGUGCAGAAGAGGGUAGUGGAAUUCCAUGUGUAGCGGUAAAAUGCGUAGAUAUAUGGAGGAACACCAGUGGCGAAGGCGGCUACCUGGUCUGUAACUGACGCUCAGGCACGAAAGCGUGGGGAGCAAAUAGGAUUAGAUACCCUAGUAGUCCACGCCCUAAACGAUGAGAACUAAGUGUUGGAGUAUUUCAGUGCUGCAGUUAACGCAAUAAGUUCUCCGCCUGAGGAGUAUGCACGCAAGUGUGAAACUUAAAGGAAUUGACGGGGGCCCGCACAAGCGGUGGAGUAUGCGGUUUAAUUCGAUGCAACGCGAAGAACCUUACCAGGCCUUGACAUCCCUUGCAAUACUAUAGAGAUAUAGCGGAGGUUACCAAGGUGACAGGUGGUGCAUGGUUGUCGUCAGCUCGUGUCGUGAGAUGUUGGGUUAAGUCCCGCAACGAGCGCAACCCUUGUCUUCAGUUACUACCAUUAAGUUGAGGACUCUGGAGAGACUGCCGGUGAUAAACCGGAGGAAGGUGGGGAUGACGUCAAAUCAUCAUGCCCCUUAUGGCCUGGGCUACACGCGUACUACAAUGGCGUACACAACAGGAUGCGAAAUAGCGAUAUUAAGCAAAUCCUUUAAAAUGCGUCUCAGUUCGGAUUGGAGUCUGCAACUCGACUCCAUGAAGUUGGAAUCGCUAGUAAUCGCGGAUCAGCAUGCCGCGGUGAAUACGUUCUCGGGCCUUGUACACACCGCCCGUCAAACCAUGAGAGUUAGUAAUACCCGAAGCCGGUGGCCUAACGCGCAAGCGAGGGAGCUGUCGAAGGUAGGACUGAUGAUUGGGGUUAAGUCGUAACAAGGUAACC
rnacentral:rRNA from 1 species